rnacentral:lncRNA from 1 species
UAAACGGUGUUAUUCUGGACCUUUGCCAGAAAUGGUAAAGGGUGUUAUUCUGGACCUUUGCCAGAAAUGGUAAAGGGUAUGUGCUUAGAGCCUGCGAUGCUCUGCCGGCCCCCUCUAGCUUCACCUAGACGUGGGUGGAUGGAGCUCCCAGACGUGGGAGACUUUUGUCAGGUGGUCAUUCAGAAAUGGAUGAAUCACAUUCUGACUGAGAUCCCACUACACCUUCUGUAUGUUUGAUAUGAUAUCCAGAGCUUUAGUUAUGUGUUUUUGUACAUGCUUUGGAUAAGAAUGAUAUGAAUGCAACGUCAAAGACGACGUUUGAGCUUCUGUUUGGUAUAUGAUAUUGAUAAGCUCCGAAAUGUUUCAUUCAUUGUUGAUAUGCUUCGAAAUGUUCCAUACGCUGUUGAUAUGCUCCGGAACAUUUCAUAUGCCAUUGAUAAGCUCCGAUAUGUUUCAUUUGUUAUUGUUAUGC